UUGACCUACUGUCCAGAGUCAAUCUGAGAUUUUUUUCUGAAUUCCCAGAUGGAACCCCAGCUAAGGGAGUACCAUGACGUAAGCUGUCCUGCUCCAACAGGACUGGUUCUUUUCUGAGAAACUGCUGACAGGAGAUCACAAAAUUUUCCUAGGAACCCUGAAAUGACAAGUGAUGGCAAACUCGUCUGCUGUGCCCUGACAUAGCUGAAUCUCUGAAGAGCAAAGAAACAGAGCAAUUAUUGAUUGCUUGAAGAAACUGUAAGCAGGAAGUCCUCUUGGCAUUUGGAGUGUAACAGAAGAAGGAGAAGAUCUGUUGUAAGAGAUUUUUACAGAACAAACUGACUAGAAAAUCAAAAUGAGGAUUGUAAAAGUGAUCUUUACUCAAAUGUGGAGUAACUUUGAAUCUGAUGGCAGGAGAACAGCCCUCAGGGCUCUGCAUGUGAUAGGUUCAGCAAUGUAUCUCUAACAUUAAUGCUGA